GACGAACGCUGGCGGCGUGCUUAACACAUGCAAGUCGAACGGAAAGGCCCUGCUUUUGUGGGGUGCUCGAGUGGCGAACGAGUGAGUAACACGUGAGUAACCUGCCCUUUACUUUGGGAUAACGUCAGCAAACUGGAGCUAAUACCGGGUAGGAGCUCCUGCUGCAUGGUGGGGGUUGGAAAGGUUCGGCGGUUGGGGAUGGACUCGCGGCUUAUCAGCUUGUUGGUGGGGUGGUGGCUUACCAAGGCUUUGACGGGUAGCCGGCCGGAGAGGGUGACCGGCCACAUUGGGACUGGGAUACGGCCAAGACUCCUACGGGAGGCAGCAGUGGGGAAUAUGGCACAAUGGGCGGAAGCCUGAUGAAGCAACGCCGGGUGCGGGAUGACGGCCUUCGGGUUGUAAACCGCUUUCGCCGGUGACGAAGCGGGAGUGACGGUAAUGGGUAAAGAAGCACCGGCUAACUACGUG
rnacentral:rRNA from 1 species